GUGUGUGUGUGUGUUUGUAGUGUAAUAUGUGUGUUUGUGUAUGUAAUAUAUGUAUGUUAAGGUGCAUGUGUGUGUGUAUCUAUGUGCGUAUGUGUGUGAAUGGGGGGUUUAUGUAUGUGUGUGUUUUUUUGUGUUUGUUUGAGUGUGUGUGUUUGGGAGUGUUUGUGUGUUUGUCUCUUUGUGUGCGUAAUAUGUUUGUGUGUGGUUGGGUGUGAGAGUGUAUAUAUUUAUAAGGUUGUGCGUGUGUGUGCGUUUAUGUGUUUAAUACAUGUGUUUGUCAGAGUGUUUGUGUGUUUUUGCGUUUGUGGGUGUCGGUUUGUGUGUGUUUCUUUGGGUGAGUUACUGUGUGUAUUUUUAUUUGUGUUUGUUUGUGUUUGUUUCUGUAUUUGUAUGUGUGAGUUCGUGUGUGUGUGUACGUGCAUGUGUGUGUUUGUGUGAGAUUGUAUGUUUUAAUGUUUGAGAGAGAGAUAAAGAGAAAAAGAGAGAGAGAAUGUGUGUGUGUCUAUAUGUUUGUGUGUGUGAUGUGUGUAAGUGUGUUUGUGUGUGUUUAUGUUGGUAAUAUGUGUGUAUAGGUGGAUGGAAGUGUAGGUAUAGGUUUGUGUAUGUGUGUGUAAUAUAUGUGUUUGUAUGGGUGUGUGUAAUAUAUGUCUUUUCCAAGGGUUUUCCUAAUCCGGGUAACAUACUUUCCGGGGGUUAAAACCCCCCCCUAAUACUAGGGGGUAAAACCCCCACUAAUAACGGGAGUUAAAAUCCCUGCAAAUACCGGGGGUUAAACCCCCGCAAAUACCGGGGGUUAAAACCCCCGCAAAUACCGGGGGUUAAAACCCCCGCAAAUACCGGGGGUUAAAACCCCCGCAAAUACCCGGGGUUAAAACCCCCGCAAAUACCCGGGGUUAAAACCCCCGCAAAUA
rnacentral:lncRNA from 1 species